rnacentral:lncRNA from 1 species
ACUUCCUUUCACGUGGUUCCUUAAUUUGUUUUCCACAUAAUAAAGGCAUCACAUGGAAACCAAAGCAUAUAGAGAAGACCAAGGGAAGAAGGGCCCUUCCUUACCUAAUCUAGAAGCCAAGGUGCCAUCAGAUGGCACGUGGAAUUAGGUGUUAGCAUGAGAAACAAAGAAGGGAAUUAAGAGUAAAUAAGAAGGACUUUCUCCUUCUUAAUGCCAAACAAAUGGGGCGUUCAAAAUAAAUGGCAUGGAAUAAUAUGAGGUGGC